rnacentral:rRNA from 1 species
UACGGGGGGAGCAAGCGUUGUUCGGAUUACUGGGCGUAAAGGGCGCGUAGGCGGCCACUGCAAGUCAGUUGUGAAAUCUCCGGGCUUAACUCGGAACGGUCAAGUGAUACUGUCGGACUAGAGUACAGAAGGGGCAACUGGAAUUCUCGGUGUAGCGGUGAAAUGCGCAGAUAUCAGGAGGAACACCGGUGGCGAAGGCGGCAUCCUGGACCAACACUGACACUGAGGAGCGAAAGCCAGGGGAGCAAACGGG